rnacentral:rRNA from 1 species
UACAGGGGGGGCAAGCGUUGUUCGGAAUUACUGGGCGUAAAGGGCCUGUAGGCGGCCAACUAAGUCGGAUGUGAAAUCCCCAGGCUUAACCUGGGAACUGCAUCCGAUACUGGAUGGCUUGAAUCCGGGAGAGGGAUGCGGAAUUCCUGGUGUAGCGGUGAAAUGCGCAGAUAUCAGGAGGAACACCGGUGGCGAAGGCGGGUCUCUGGGCCGUAACUGACGCUGAGGAGCGAAAGCGUGGGGAGCGAACAGG